CUGACUCUGCAGCUGGGAGAGGAGCCCAGCACCAGGAUUCCCAAGUGUUCCAGUCAGUACUCAGGACAGGACACAGAGAACUCACCAUGGAAUUUGUGCUUGUCUGGGUUUUCCUUGUUGCUCUUUUAAAAGGUGUCCAGUGUGAGGUGCAGCUGGUGGAGUCUGGGGGAGACCUGGUGAAGCCUGGGGGGUCCCUGAGACUUUCCUGUGCAGCCUCUGGAUUCACCUUCAGUAACUACGGCAUGAGCUGGGUCCGCCAGGCUCCAGGGAAGGGGCUGCAGUGGGUCGCAUAUAUUAGCUAUGAUGGAAGUUACACAAGCUACGCAGACUCUGUGAAGGGCCGAUUCACCAUCUCCAGAGACAAUGGCAAGAACACGCUGUAUCUGCAGAUGAACAGCCUGAGAGUCGAGGACACGGCCCUGUAUUACUGUGCGAGAGACACAGUGAGGGGCCCUCAGUGUGAGCCCAGACACAAACCUCAAACUGCAAGGGUAUCAUCGGAUAAAUACGGGACGGGAUCUGGACCACCAGAGGGUGCACACCACUCACCAAUCCUGUCUUUAAGCCCAGGAGCAGAUGCAGAUGAGGGUUAUGGCAAAGGUGGUCCUAAGACAAAAAUACACAGCAUACAGGAAGACCUCAAGAAGCAAGAAAAAUCUGAAAGAAACACUCCAACGUUACACCUGAAGGAGCUAGAGAAGGUUGAUGACUAA